rnacentral:sRNA from 1 species
CGCCCGUCAAACCACGAAAGUUGAUAAUACCCAACGCCGGUGGCCUAACCGCAAGGAGGGAGCCGUCUAAGGUAGGAUCAAUGAUUGGGGUUAAGUCGUAACAAGGUAUCCCUACGGGAACGUGGGGAUGGAUCACCUCCUUUCUAAGGAAAACAUGGCUUAAGAAGCUGUGAACGAGACUUUGUUUACAAAGUUCUCACAAACGAGAUUUUAUCUAAAAUCUCCCAAACAUUCUGCAUUACUCAUCAUAUUCAGUUUUGAAAGACUUAUGUCUUUUAGAAGGGCCUAUAGCUCAGCUGGUUAGAGCGCACGGCUGAUAACCGUGAGGUCGAUGGUUCGAGUCCAUUUAGGCCCACCAUUUAAGUGGUGCACUCACAAGUGAGCUAAACCCUUAAAAAUGUUUUAUCCAACCUAAUGGUUGAGAUCUUUGAAAAGUAGAUAAAUUCUGACGUAAGGUUAAGGAAGAGAAGGCACGCAGUGGAUGCCUUGGCACUAAGCACCGAUGAAGGACGCAACUAACGGCGAAACGCCACGGGGAGCAGUAAGUACGCGACGAUCCGUGGGAUUCCGAAUGAGGCAACUCAGCAUGUGGAAGACAUGUUAUCCCAGCAAUGGGAGGGGGACGCAGGGAAUUGAAAUAUCUCAGUACCUGUAGGAAAAGAAAGUAAUAAACGAUUCUAGUAGUAGCGACGAGCGAACCUGGAGGAGCCUGUUUUGCAUAAUAGUUACAAAACCAGAUUAUAGACGAAUGGCAUGGGAAGGCCAAUCGAAGAAGGUGAGAAUCCUGUAGUCGAAAUGAUCUGGACUAGGCAAACGAGAAGUAGGGCGGGACACGAGAAAUCCCGUUUGAAGAACGGAGGACCAUCUCCGAAGGCUAAAUAUGUCUUAGUGACCGAUAGUGAACCA